rnacentral:rRNA from 1 species
AACGAACGCUGGCGGCAUGCCUAACACAUGCAAGUCGAACGAGACCUUCGGGUCUAGUGGCGCACGGGUGCGUAACGCGUGGGAAUCUGCCCUUGGGUUCGGAAUAACAGUUAGAAAUGACUGCUAAUACCGGAUGAUGACGUAAGUCCAAAGAUUUAUCGCCCAAGGAUGAGCCCGCGUGGGAUUAGCUUGUUGGUGAGGUAAAAGCUCACCAAGGCGACGAUCCUUAGCUGGUCUGAGAGGAUGAUCAGCCACACUGGGACUGAGACACGGCCCAGAUUGCUACGGGAGUCAGCAGUUGGGAAUAUUGGACAAUGGGCGAAAGCCUGAUCCAGCAAUGCCGCGUGAGUGAUGAAGGCCUUAGGGUUGUAAAGCUCUUUUACCCGGGAUGAUAAUGACAGUACCGGGAGAAUAAGCCCCGGCUAACUCCGUGCCAGCCGCCGCCGUAAUAC